rnacentral:rRNA from 1 species
CGCGGCCUAUCAGCUUGUUGGGGGGGUAAUGGCUCACCAAGGCAUCGACGGGUAGCUGGUCUGAGAGGAUGAUCAGCCACACUGGGACUGAGACACGGCCCAGACUCCUACGGGAGGCAGCAGUGGGGAAUCUUGCACAAUGGGCGCAAGCCUGAUGCAGCAACGCCGCGUGCGGGAAGAAGGCCUUAGGGUUGUAAACCGCUUUCAGUAGGGAAGAAAAUGACGGUACCUACAGAAGAAGGUGCGGCCAACUACGUGCCAGCAGCCGCGGUAACACGUAGGCACCAAGCGUUAUCCGGAUUUAUUGGGCGUAAAGGGCUCGUAGGCGGUUCAGUCAGUCGGGUGUGAAAACUUGAGGCUUAACCUCAAGAGGUCACUCGAUACUACUGUGACUAGAGUGCGGUAGGGGAGCGGGGAAUUCCUGGUGUAGCGGUGAAAUGCGCAGAUAUCAGGAGGAACACCAGUGGCGAAGGCGCCGCUCUGGGCCGUAACUGACGCUGAGGAGCGAAGGCAUGGGUAGCAAACAGGAUUAGAUACCCUGGUAGUCCAUGCCGUAAACGUUGGGCACUAGGUGUGGGUCUCAACCAACGAGAUCCGCGCCGUCGCUAACGCAUUAAGUGCCCCGCCUGGGGAGUACGG